CCUACGGGAGGCAGCAGUGGGGAAUAUUGGGCAAUGGAGGAAACUCUGACCCAGCGACGCCGCGUGCGGGAUGAAGGCCUUCGGGUUGUAAACCGCUUUCAGUAGGGAAGAAGCGAAAGUGACGGUACCUACAGAAGAAGCACCGGCUAACUAUGUGCCAGCAGCCGCGGUAAUACAUAGGGUGCAAGCGUUGUCCGGAAUUAUUGGGCGUAAAGAGCUCGUAGGUGGUUCGUCACGUCGGAUGUGAAAAUCUGGGGCUCAACCCCAGACCUGCAUUCGAUACGGGCGAUCUAGAGUGUGGUAGGGGAGACUGGAAUUCCUGGUGUAGCGGUGGAAUGCGCAGAUAUCAGGAGGAACACCAAUGGCGAAGGCAGGUCUCUGGGCCAUUACUGACACUGAGGAGCGAAAGCGUGGGGAGCGAACAGGAUUAGAUACCCUGGUAGUCCACGCCGUAAACGGUGGGCACUAGUUGUGGGAACCUUCCACGGUUUCUGCGACGCAGCUAACGCAUUAAGUGCCCCGCUGGGGAGUACGAUCGCAAGAUUAAACUCAAAUGAAUUGACGG
rnacentral:rRNA from 1 species